rnacentral:rRNA from 1 species
CAAUAGCGUAUAUUUAAGUUGUUGCAGUUAAAAAGCUCGUAGUCGGAUUUUGGCUGAGAACGAACGGUCCGCCGUUAGGUGUGCACUGUUUGGUCUCAGCUUCCUGGUGAGGAGGUGUGCUUCACGGCCACUUAGUCACCGUGGUUACUUUGAAAAAAUUAGAGUGUUCAAAGCGGGCUUACGCUUGAAUAUAUUAGCAUGGAAUAACACCAUAGGACUCCUGUCCUAUUUCGUUGGUCUCGGGACGGGAGUAAUGAUUAAGAGGAACAGUUGGGGGCAUUCGUACUUCAUUGUCAGAGGUGAAAUUCUUGGAUUUAUGAAAGACGAACUUCUGCGAAAGCAUUUGCCAAGGAUGUUUUCAUUG